AGAAGAGGUGAAAUGGACUGUGCCUGGCUCCCUGCAUGCCACUCGUAUCGACGCCAAUCAUACCCACGGAUUGGCAACUGCGGCUGGCGUGUGAGGAGCCAAGCAUACCUCUCUCUCUCUCUC
rnacentral:miRNA from 15 species